rnacentral:piRNA from 1 species
CACUCAUGACUUGCCUGAGUACACGGCACCGA